GGCGUUCUUCGCAGCGGCGGAGGUCGACCGCCGACUGCGGUGAUCGUCGAUUACAUCGACGCUCACAGGGGCCGGUUCGGGGUCAAUCCGAUCUGCCGAGUGCUCACCACGAGCACGGAAUGCACAUCGCCCCG
rfam:Williamsia sp. D3 Contig0013, whole genome shotgun sequence.